UUUAAAAACAACCAGAGGCAGCCAGACAAGUUACAGCAUGCCUAGGAAAUUUGACUUCAAUUGAUCCGACACGAUUUUACCCAGCAAAGUAAUUCUGAGAAGCUAGCAAAAAAACGCCUCUGCAUUUUUUUUCCAUCUCUGUUGGAAUCACGACAUAUCCCUUUGGUAACAGCAUCCUCAAAAACCUCCUGGCUCCAGCUCUGCCAGGGCAUGCUAAAGGCUUGCAUUUCUUGCUACUGUUACAUCAUUCAGUUUCAAUAAGGUGUUUUGCUACUGACUAUUACAAGAAUAUAUCAAAAAAAGACUCCCUUUAAGAAUUCGCAGCUAUUUCAAAGAUUCAUUUCGUACUUUAAUUCUUCGAAGGUUUUAGCUCAGCUACCUGAAGUAUACAGUAAGUACUGAAUAGAGUAAAACUUUUAAAUAGCACUUUUUAUUUUUACAGAGACUGAAGUUGAAUUUCCCUGUCUUUGCAUAAUUAUCCUCCUGUUACUAAUUUGACACAGUCCCCCACUGUAUUUUCUCAAAAGAAGCGCAGCAUUAAAACAAAAACAGCAAAAGAGAAUGACGAAAAGAUGUUAAAUACAACUCUGAUUACAUUAAUGACAUUUAAUUCUUGCUGUCAUAAUACAGUCUUCUAACCAAGAGGAAAGGAAAAGGUGCCAAGGUUAUAAUCGUAUAGCUGUCAAAACUGACAUCAGAUUGUCCAUCUUACUAGUUGAACACCACAAUCACUUGGUAUAUAUUCUUAAGAAUCUAUUAAAUAUCAAAAUAAUAUUUGCCUGAUUAUAAACCCCUUGAUACUUCACAGCACAUUCAGGAAAACACAAAACAUUAAUAAAUGAUUUACAGAAAAGCAAGCCAUUGGUAUACCUUCUAUUUAGCACCUCCUGGUACAGACACUGACGAUUAUUACACUUAAUAGCCUAAAUCAGUGAUGUGCAGUGAUUAUUUGCUGACUAAUAAAAUUAUAUUUCAUUUAGUCCACAGUGAAAUUUUCUAGAAUAAUACAAUGGCAGGAAGAUUAAUAAACUUUGUGAGCUCAGCCUACUGCCACACAACAUAGUAGUUUUCUUUUUCUAACCUCACCACCAGGCUUUAUUUUUGUUUAUAACCAACAUCAACAAACAAAUACCAGCAUUUGUUGCCUAAAGCCCCAGAGCAGCAGCAUGAAUUUUGCAGCAGUACAUGAAAAAUCUCCUCCUGUUUUUUUCCCUUUGGCUCCAAGUGACAUGUGAGCCCCAGCAACCUGCUGAGCUACCUUGCCAUUUAGCAAUUCCCAAACUCAGCGGUAGGCCCCUGUCUGGGAAAAUCCCCACUCUGUCUGGCACAUUAUCUCACUGGACAUUUCAAAAAACUCCCCAGUCUCCCUUGUUCGGGUCAGUUACGCUGUGACCACAAAACUCUUCACAUUUGUCUCAAACCUUUCAGAAAAGGAAGAAGGGGCAGUUCUGGCGCAGCAGGGAAGCCAGUGGACAUGUUUCAUCAGAUAAUAAUCUGGCUGGUAUUCUGAAUUCAAAGGCACAGCUUUUGAAAAUACCUAUGAGCUAGAAGUUGCUGCAGCAAGGUCUCCUGACACACAAAAACCACGACUUUCCUCACUUGUUCCUUAAAUAUCUAUCUGCAAACGUGCCAAGCUUUCCUUUAGCAGCUUUCCUCUCCACAGCACAGGAAUGCGGGAUACAGAAAGGAACCCCACACUGUGGGAAACUGCGGUCCAAGAGAAAGCACUCCAGGUGCCGUGUGUCACGCAUUAACAGGUGUCUCCAAGAAGGACUGGCGAUAAGACCCUAAGACUGUCAAAAGCAAACUUAGCCAACAGAGCGAGCCCAUCGCUCCUGACGAACCGGUCCCACAGCGCCGUGGGGCUCCUGACGUUAUCUCGCUCCUUCCUCUAUACGCCUGGUUUCCAGGGAAGGCUGCGAGCUCCGCGGGGGAGGAGAGUGCCCGCUAGCUCUCCCAGGCAGGAUCUGCAGGGAAACUUUGCCGUGCGCGGUUCGCUGCCGGAGAAGCAGCGGGAGGAGACGGCCGGGGCGCCCCGGGCCCCCGCUCCUCCGGCUCCCGGCGACGCCGGAGCCUCCUCCCUUCUUUCCCGAAGCCCUCCGCCCUUCGGGAGCGUCUCGUGGCUGGAAAGGAGGCUCCGGGGACCUCGCCAAGGGGCUGGGGAGGGAACGGCACCGGCUCCCGCCGAUCCCGGUGCGGAUUUAUUAAAGGAGUAAAGUCACGAAUUCUCAUUAAAAUAAAAACAAAAAUGAAGAGCUGUUUCCGGAGAAGCCAGGGGAGGCAAAGGUACAAGUGAGUCACCCCUCAGCUGUGCUCUUGCAAGCAUUUAAUGUUGGCCUGGAAGGACAUUUGCUUUUGAAUUUUGGAAGUCAAGAGUGUAUUUCUGCUUCAUUUGGGAAGAAGAAACUGUUGCUGUAGCAAUACUUCCUUUGCCAGAGAAGUCUUGAAGUGGAGGAGAACUUUCCAGAAGCAGCCGGAGGCUAAAGCAGAUGAAUGUCUCCUUUUAGCUUGUUUUGAAGUGGUCCCUACUUGGAUAUUGCAGACUGAAAAGGUUUCUCUAGUGGUUCCUGCCUCUCAGAAAUACACAAAUUAUUUCUCCUAAGGUAGAUAUACCCAUCUGCCAGGCAACGUGCUUGCCUCAAGCAGGAAGUCCAGCUCUGACAGUUUCCACUCCUCUCUGUGGUGAGGUUUUCCUGUGAUUUGCCCCUGCAUCAAGUAUACCCUUGAACACUUCAACCCCCAUAUGAACAUCCAGAUGUGAUUCUUUGUGGCUUCCAUGUACAUCAUGGAGCCUGGCUGUACGCCUAAUGAGAGAAACGGUAAGCAAGAGUCCACUGAAGGGUAGCAUUUACUUGAUGAAUUUUCAUGUCAGAAAUCCACCCCAGCUAAAUGUUUAUCAUGAGACUUUGAUCUCAAAGAUUUAGCUCUCCCUGUGGAGCAAAAGCAGAUGCUUGGUAAGCUGUUGCUGUAGUCCUGACAACCCUUUCAAAUGUCUAGACAGUGGAAAGAGAUCAUUACAUCCUCUUUUAAAGUCAACAGCAACAAUUCAACGCACUUAACAUGUUUACCUCAGGAUGACCUUAUUUACACUGCUUUGCUUUGUAGUACCGCAAAUGUCUAAUACUAUUGAAAGAUGGAGGAUAAUAAGGUGGUUCCAGAUAAAAACCCACUUUUAUUUAGAAAAAUAAAUAUGACAGAUGUGCUAGAUCACAUAUGGUCCCUAUGUAGAUUUUAGCUUGGACCUAGAGAUUAAGGAAAUUGAUAGUAUGCCUUUACAGCUAGCAUUUCUCAUUUAAGAAUCAUGAAAACAUUAACCUUUGCAGAAAGGGUAUUUAGUUAGUGCUAGCUGAAGUUCCCAUUAAAUCGUAGAGAUAAGCCCAGGAAAUGUCCAACAUUGCUGCAUUUACUUUGUGCGAUGUAUUGAACAGGGGAAAAGUAAGUUAUUGUAGUCAUAACUGUUGAAGAGCUAUCUGAGUGUAGUCUUACAAGAUGAUAGACUUAAGAAAAGGGAUCUGAAAAGAGAAGGAGAUUCCGACUUAAGCAGCCUCCUUAAAAUAAAAAUAAAGUCUGAAGGUUCUCCAAGAUAAACCAGCCAUGAAAACAAGAAAUGCUAACUUACCAGGUGUGCCUCAUGUCGGCCAAGGCACUGGAAGUGGUAUGGAAGAAGUUUACUAGUAUCGUGAUUCAGGACUACGUGAACUGUUUUCCAGUUCUGUAAAACCUUUUCUAUUAGUAAAUAAAGCUUCUGAUUUUCUAGUUAAUAUGUUGUGGUGUUUAAAAUCAGCUCAGGAGCUUCUGACAAAUC